GAAGCAAAAGAAGAGGAAGAAAAGAACGGUAGGAAAAGGGAGCUACGGAUUUGGGGCGAGGCAGUUCUCGAGCAGCGGACUUCCGACCCGAGGAUUUUGAAUUCGAGCCUGCGCGUUCGGAGCUUUGUUUAUAUAGUCUGGAGUGUGGUUAUAGAUUUGAAUGAUUGGUUGUUAUCCUUCACUCUGGUUCUGUUCAUGUGGGAGAAUUGGACCUCAUAUAACAACCUUUUUUUGUUUGAAUAACAUUUUUGAGAAUUGUGGAGUGCUGGAUUGAUCAGGGGAAACCUCAGCUGUAAGUCAGACUUCAUAAUAUGCGAGAUAUCAAGUGAUUUCUCUUCGAAUUUUAUUGGUUAGUGGGAUUGAGCAGGAAGAGUUCAAAAACUUCAUGAUUUAUUGUUGUUAUGUUUGUAUUGCUUGGGAAAAUGUGAAGAUAGCAUUUUCCUGCUGUAAGGUGUAGAUUGUGGCUUUGCAUAAGGCUGAAGAUCUGUUGGAGCCCUGCUGCACAAAUUUUGUGGAUAGUGAGGGAUGGGGAAGCCACUCUUGUAUGAGAUUUGGGAAAAACCUGCAACUAGUUGUAUCAUAGGAAUAUGCACUGCAAUUUGGUUCUACAUUCAGAAGAAAAACAUCGGUUAUGCCAGUGUGGGCUUGAGCUAUGAAACAGCCAUUGAAGGGCAUUAUUGGAGAAUAAUUACAUCCGCAUUCUCCCACAUCAGCGUGGUUCAUCUGGUUUUUAACAUGAGCGCUCUUUGGAGCCUUGGCAUGGUUGAGCAGUUGGGCUACAUUGGUCUUGGCAUAGAGUUUUAUCUCCAUUAUACUCUAGUUCUGGUAGUGUUAUCAGGAUUGCUGGUCCUGGGAGUUUAUCAUAUUCUGAUUCAGAAGUUUAAGUUGGAGUAUUUCAGGAGAGUGACAGCCGUUGGUUACUCAUGUGUGGUGUUUGGAUGGAUGACGAUCCUUGCAGUGAAGCAGCCAUCUUCAAAGCUGAAUCUGUUUGGGUUUCUUUCUCUGCCAAUCAGCUUUGCACCAUUUGAAUCAUUAAUUUUCACGUCCAUAAUUGUUCCACAAGCAAGUUUUAUUGGCCACUUGUCAGGAAUUAUCGUCGGUUAUUCCAUAGCUUGGGGUUUGAUUCAUGGCAUGAGUAAUUACUGGGCCAUUUCAAUGCUUGGAUGGAUUAUUCUGGUGUUUUUCCUGAGCCUCAAGCGUGGUGGAGCUUUUGACUUAAAUUUUAUUGAGAUUGAAUCAGUUACGGAUUCUUCACUACCUACUGUGGGCUUUCUUGCUUCUGGAAAUGGUAGAACUCUGCAGAUGAAUAUUCUUACUGGUAGAGGUGCAGAACUUGUAUAGCUUACAGUUGAGAUCAUGUGGUUUUUCCAUUGAUGAUUGGUCCAUCAUACAAGAUUGUCUGCUCGUGCAUAUGCUAGAAGUCAGCACUGCCCAAUUUAUAGACUUGUGUGGUGCUGUAUUCAUUGGACAAGCUUAUUCCAAGAGGUCCUCCCUGCUGUAAGCACCAUGCUUGGUCAGAACAUGGAUUCUAAAAACCAGAAAUUGUGCGUCUUUCACCUGGUUCCUGUUCCAGGUGAACAGGAUUUUCAACAAGUACAGAUCCAAAGAAAGUCUAGACUCGAGCAAUGAAUCAAUGUUUACAUUAGCACCAAUUUAAUACACAGCUGUGGCUGCCGUGAUGGGGCUAUGAAGUACAAUGCGAUGCAGAUUCAAGUUCAAUAGAAUUAAGUGGUUCUGUGGUAUUUCUGUUUCUUUAGUUUGGUAAUAAAUAUGAUCCAGCAAAAAUUUCCCGUUACUGUGCAUUGACUAAUCUAGACUAGUAUUUCAUUCUCUAGGUUGUGAAUGGAAGUUCUCUAAUUACAAAAGUAUAAUUUUUACUCAA